rnacentral:rRNA from 1 species
UACGUAGGUGGCAAGCGUUGUCCGGAUUUACUGGGCGUAAAGAGCGCGCAGGCGGUCGUUCAAGUCGCGUGUGAAAGCCCCCGGCUCAACUGGGGAGGGUCACGCGAUACUGAUCGACUCGAAGGCAGGAGAGGGUAGUGGAAUUCCCGGUGUAGUGGUGAAAUGCGUAGAUAUCGGGAGGAACAUCAGUGGCGAAGGCGGCCAUCUGGGACAACACUGACGCUGAGGCACGAAAGCGUGGGGAGCAAACAGG